rnacentral:lncRNA from 1 species
CGGUGCUUUGUAAUGGGAGGAUGGACUGAGCAGGGUGUUUGCUGGAUACAGGCUGAAGCGCAGUCAACUUUGACCAUUUUCAGAUUCUGCGGGCCAUUGGUAAAGGGAGUUUUGGAAAGGUAAGAAUCACGGAGCUUUUAAAAUUUCAUUACCAAAAUAUGAAAAGUCCAGACCUCUGGGCUUGUAA